GGUUGUCUGGAAUAUUCAUGAUCUUCGAGACAAAUCGAGAGAAAUGAAACAAACAGAGACUCAUUCAUCGGGAGGAAGGAAAUACGCCCUUGAUCAAGAGGCGCCGGGCGCCGAAACGUCGCCUUUACAUAGUUACAUUGAGAACUGAGGGAUUCAUCUUUAGCAAAGAAGACCGGAAUGCUAGUUGGUAUUCUGGAAGUAUGUCUCAAGCUUACCUGGAAUUUCGUCAAAUCAGCUUCAGCAACUCUCUUCAGCAGCUCAUACGUGCUGAUAGCCAGAUGAACACACGGAAGCGGAAGAUCGGGAGGAGACUGGCCUGCUACUCUAGGCGUUGAACCCGGCAACAACGAGCCAUACAACAUUGAGACACACCCCAGCAACUCAGUGUCAUGUAGAAUGGACAUCUGCAACAAUAAAAGUUCUUAAUUUACUUUUAAAUGAUACAGCUUUCUGUGUUUAUUUCUACAUGUAUGGACAAGUUUCUACAUGUAUGUUUCUCGAACAUUUUCAGAAUUUUUUGAUAUUGUGGGAUGUUGCAUUCCAUGUGCCGUUUCAAAUUCGACGUACUUGUUUUGUAAGAUAAUUUUGCUUUGAUAAAUUGCAAUUUGCGUCAUUAUCAUCUAAUGCAGAUAGAAAUUCCGCAAAAAAAUAAUUUUCCGUCGCUUAGCACAAUACAUAAUAAACAAUUUCGAAGGGGUUCUGAUGUUGGCACUUGAUGAACAGUUAGUUAACUAUCAAUGUUCUAACUUUUAGAUUUUAAGUCACUUGAACAGGAUUAAACAUUUAAUAAAGGGCGAUUGAAAAUACACAAAA
rnacentral:lncRNA from 1 species